CAAGCCUGAUCCAGCCAUGCCGCGUGAGUGAAGAAGGUCCGUUCGGGUUAGUAAAGCUCUUUCAGCCGGGAAGAAACGCAGUAGGGUUAAUACCCUGUGUGGAUGACGUACCGGAAUAAGAAGCACCGGCUAACUACGUGCCAGCAGCCGCGGUAAUACGUAGGGUGCGAGCGUUAAUCGGAAUUACUGGGCGUAAAGCGUGCGCAGGCGGUUUUGUUAAGAUAGGCGUGAAAUCCCCGGGGCUCAACCUGGGAACUGCGUUUAUGACUGGCAGGCUAGAGUAUGGCAGAGGGGGGUGGAAUUCCACGUGUAGCAGUGAAAUGCGUAGAGAUGUGGAGGAACACCGAUGGCGAAGGCAGCCCCCUGGGCCAAUACUGACGCUCAUGCACGAAAGCGUGGGUAGCAAACAGGAUUAGAUACCCUGGUAGUCCACGCCCUAAACGAUGUCAACUAGGUGUUGGGAGGGUAAAACCUUUUAGUACCGGAGCUAACGCGUGAAGUUGACCGCCUGGGGAGUACGGCCGCAAGGUUAAAACUCAAAGGAAUUGACGGG
rnacentral:rRNA from 1 species